rnacentral:lncRNA from 1 species
AUCGAUGAUGACUUCCUUAUAUACAUUCCUUGGAAAGCUGAACAAAAUGAGUGAAAACUCUAUACCGUCAUCCUCGUCGAACUGAGGUCCAGCACAUUGCUCUUACAGGGGCUAGAGAGAGAGGGACAAAUUUCAUUUGAUGAUGCCCAUUGCACCAAGGGGUUCUGUCCAGGCUUAGGAUGGGGUCUCGUUUGGGCAAAGGAGAAUGGCAGGGGAGUGGAGGCUAUGUACACAGGAGAUUCCUUGUUUGAAGGACUCUAUUUGUGAGGCCAGGGUACCACACAUGCUGUCCGCAGGAGUAGGUGAAUGUGCAGUUGCCCAGGAAGAGUUAGCCUGUAGCCUGCCUCUGCAUGGCAGUUUGUCCUUGGGUCCUGGCUCUGGAUUUCCAUGUUCCUUGGAGGAGGAUAGGUGAUUUUGCUUGAGAAGACAGCACAGUACCAUACUUUUGUUGUUUUUCUGCUCAUUUCAUCGUCCAUUGAGGACAAUGAAGUUGUGGUCAGCAGGCAUAGCUUUCAGGCCAGCGUGCCCAUGUUGUGUCCCAUGCAUUGUGAGCACAUGCAUGUGGCAUGAACACAUAGGCUGCCACUCCAAGCUGAGUCUGAUAGGCAAUGAGACUCUGGCUUAUCCUGAUCCCGGUGUAGAUCAAAGUCUUCCCAGUAGGAUUGCAUGGCCCCGAGGCUAUUGUGAGCUGCAUUGCAGGUGUGGAAGCAAGGGUGUUGAGAGGGAUGCUCAACAUUAGUGCUCUUUAGCGAGAUGAUGCACUAUAAGGGCACCCUGAACCCAGACGUGCAUCCCUAUGUACGUGCAUUUCUGUGUCCAUAAAUAGUUGAAGCCAGACAGCCAGAUUCCAGAUGUAUCGCAGGGGGCUGGAUGACAUGGCCCUUGUCACCUGUGUACCUGUCUGCCUUUCUGAAGCACGCUUGUGUUUCCUCUACACCUCCCAGGUAGCAUUGGCAUGGAAGGCAGGCCCAUGUUGGUGAGGGACAAUUGUUAUCUUGUGUGAGCCGCAGGGAUACCAGGAAACCCCUGGACACAAAUGGCAAAGGCUUCUUUGGAAGUUGUUGGAUCCCUUCUGCAUGUAAGCAGUUCUUUCCCAGAGCGCUCUGAUUUUCCUCAUUUGCAGGGACAAACACUGUGCGUGGAUCGAUGAUGACUUCCAUAUAUACAUUCCUUGGAAAGCUGAACAAAAUGAGUGAAAACUCUAUACCGUCAUCCUCGUCGAACUGAGGUGGUGUUGGCAUGAAAGGCAGGCUUGUAUCAUGAGGAAUGAUUGUCAUCUUGUCUGAUUCUUGGAGAUGGCAGGAAGCCCCUGGAAACACAUGGUGUGGACUCUUUCACAGGCUGUUGAAACCCUCCUGAAUGUGAGGCCAGAGACAGGCAGACAGCAGAUGUAUUGCAGGGAGCUGGAUGACAUGGCCCUUGGAACCUGUGCACAUGCCUGCCUUUCUGAUGCACGUCCAUGUUUUCUCUGCACCUCCCCGGUGGUGUUGGUAUAAAAAGCAGGCUUACAUCAGCAAGGGAUGAUUGUCGUCUCAUGCGAUCCUGGGAGAUGGCAGAAGUCCCGGGACACAUGGAGUGUGGGCUCUUUCGGAGGCUGUUGGAUCCCUCCUGAAUGUGUUGUGGCCAUGGAAGUAAGGCCAGUGGCUACGAGGGACAGUCUUCAUCUUGGGAGAUCCCUAGAGAGGGCAGGGAGCCCCUUGACAUGUGGAAUGUGAUCUCUGUUGGGUGCUGGUGGAUCCCACAGGUGGUCUGGCAUGGAAGAAGGCCAGAGGCUGCGAUGGAUCAUCUUUGUCUUGGGAGAUUCCUGGAGAUGGUGGGGAGCCCCUGGGCACGUGCAGCAUAUGUGGCGUGGGCUUCUUCAGGUGCUGGUGGAUCCCUCAGGAUGCUUUUCAAGGUUUUUCUAUGAGUUCUGUUAAAGAGUCUGAAAAUGGAGCGUAGAAGACAUGCUUCGAUUUCCAGGAUGGUUGUGUUUUCCAGAGAGGCGGAGGUAAACCACUGGCGCAGCCCUGCCUCCCACAGAUAAUUCCGGGUGCAGUGUUUCAUAUCUAGACUUGGACUUCUAUCCUACCAUACUUCUUUGUGUGCAGUUCAUUGUGGAACCAGCACAGAUUUUCAUACGAAAGUUAUUUCUUUUUAACCUCAAAAAGUGACAGAAUGGAGUGUAUCAUGAAAAAGUCUGACAUCAAAACCUCAAAAUGUGAUAUUGAUUGGGUGAGAUAGAAUUCCAUGGAAUUUCAUUGCCAAACCAGUGAAGUGCUAAUUUUGACAUUUGUACCAGCUAACGUAGCUGUGAAGAAACACACCAAUACACUUCUAAGGACAGCAUAGACCAAGAUCUAGGUUUCAUAUGGAUGAAUUUAUUCUUCCCUUUGAGGCAAGACAAGAAGGAAAGAAAGUAUUGGGAAUAAUGCUGCCCUCCCAUCCUCAAGGGCCAGUGGGAACUCUAAUAUUGAUUGGGUGAGAUACAAUUCCAUGGAAUUUUACCACUGAACCAGUGGAGGGCUAAUUUUGUCAUUUGUACCAGUUAACUAACUUGGGAGGAAACAGAACAACACACUCCUGAGAUUGGUUUUCACAGAAUUCCAUGGACUUUAACUGCUGAACCAAUGAUGCACUGAUUUUGUCACUUGUACCAGCUAACGCAUCUGGGAGGCAACAAAACAAUACUCUCCUGAGGUUAAUGUGGACCAAAAACUAGAUUUCAUAUAAAAGAGUUUAUUCCUUCUACUUGAGGUGUGACAUGAAGGAAAGUAAUGGAAAUAAUUCUGCCCUCCCAUUCUCAAGGGCCAGGGGGAAUUCAAAUAUUGAACGGAAGUGAUUUUGGAAUUGCAUGGAAUUCUCACUGCCAUCCCAAAGAAAUGCUGAUCUUGUCACUCUUACCUGUUUCAUUCCCUGGGGGCAGAACAAAAGGACGCACUCCAAAGAUCGGCAUGAACCAAGAACUGGGUUUCAUAUAAAAUAUUUUAUUCUGUCCUCUUGAGAUGUGACAUGAGAAAAGUAUUGAGAAUACUUCUAUCACCUCAUCUUCAAGAAUCCGUAGGAAUUCUCCCAUGGUGGACUUUACGGUUAACCUGAACAGGUCUUGGAAAAAGGACUUUAAACAUUCUCCUGUUCUGUGGAAUAAGUAUACUUUUUUCUGGACAUACACCUUGUCAGUGAGUUCCAUGUGAUACUAGAGUUGCAUAGAUUUUUAACCUUUACGCCAAUGAAGAUCUGAGGCAAACAUUGCCCCUUUUUUAGAAGUUUGCAUUUGUCACUGAUAACUGUAAUAAUUGAUCUUGUUGAAAAGCCUGGGAAAUGAAGAUCUGAUAUGUCACUUUUACCGGCUUCCUCAACUGAAAAAGAAUACAAUGAAACACGCUGAGAAUUUUUGUGCUUUCUCAGUCUUGCUGAUGAUCUUUCUAUGGGCCUGAAGCGUGGAGAGUGCCAGAGAGGCUGAUCCUCAGCAGUGUGGCAGAGGAAAGUUGGGUGCGACUAAGGGGUAUGCGGUGCCCACAUGCCACUGGGUCCUCAGCAGUACCACCUGAUUGGAAGUGAUAUUGGUGGAAGACAACAUUUUGCCGCUUGGAAUUCUCACCUCCACACCAAAGAAGUACUGUUUUUGUCAUUUGCACCAGCUUCUUUCUCCAGGAAAGAUCAAAACGAUGCACUGCAAGUGUGAUUGGUCCAGAUAGCUGCCUUAUCCAACUGCCUCCUUUGGACCACUUCAUCAUGGGACAGCUUGAUGCAAUCUACUUGACAAGACCCUGGAACCCCACACCCCUCAUGGAACCAGUGUCCACCUCCCAGUCACAGUGUGACCCCAGGGAACUCUUGCCUGCUUGCUUUAAACCCACCACUUAAAAGUCUCCACAGAAAACCUGUUUGAAUAGUACCCUUGACCCAAUAAGGGCAUUGGCCCCUGGGUGUCUCUCUCUCUCUCUCUCUCUCUCUCUCCCUCUCUCUCCCUCUCUCUCUCUCGCUCCCUGACCUCUGCGUGUGGACUCCAGGCAUGCCAUAUACCCCUCAGGACCUGAAGCAAAAGAAUGAAUUAAAGAAAACUCCAGAGAAUGAGCUGACAACCUACUCCCUGGUCAGUGGCUCUCCAUGCCUACCUGUGGUCUCUUGGACACCCUUGCAGAUGACUUCCUGGGAACUCUUCUGGGAGUGAAUGUUAUCAGCAAAUUCCCAAAACAACACCCCUUAGACAAAAAGCCUCCUCACCUAUGCAUUGCCUAGACCACCCACUAAAGGUGAUGGCCACAAAGAGGUGGAUUUGUUGAGUUGGUGCCAUUCCUUCUACUGCCAGCUUCACCAAAACAAUGACACAGUCUUCCUUCCGCAUGGAGACUCUUCUCUUUCCUGUGUUGCAGUGGAUGCCUCCUGCAGAUAAGAAAUGCUUAACUGAGAAAUGCUCAUGUUGGGAUAUCAUCGAUGAGACUUUAAUUUGGGCAUGGUGACUGUUUCCCUUGCUGCCACUUGACUCAAUCCCAGGAGCCUCAGUAGAGGAUAUAAUAUUACACAAGAUGCUCAAAAUGGUGGAAUUGCUCAGUGCUCCCAUAAAUAUACAUUUAUAAUUUUCAUUUGCCACAUGGUAAACUGAAAAAUACAGACUAUAUUAAAAAGAAACUGCAUGAUUUUUUUUCAAAAAUUCAAAGCAUAUUUAAAUAAUAUAUAAAUUAAAUGCCCUCCUCUCUUCCAAUUCUGUCCCUAUAGUUUUCCUCUAUUAAGUGAACUACAUGCAUUCUUUUAGUGGAUAGAUGCACACAAACACACAAGCCAUUAUGGGGAAGGAUCCACGUGUGUGGCCAUAUUGUAACACAUUUUUCUGCAAAUCACCUCUUUCAUUUAACAGCCCUUAUUCAAUGGCCUUUUUCUUUUUCAGUAGUACAUACACAUCUGUGUCAUUUGUUGAAUGACGACAUGAAUGUUUUGUAGAUAAAAUAUAAUUAAAUGUUUUAAGCAUUUCUCACUCAUAGAUAUUUAUGUUAGCACCAAAUUUCUGUGCAAUGAACCUCCCUAUAUAUCAGUAAUUUUGCAUUUGUCUAUAAUAUCAUAAUAAAUUACUUAUCAGUU